AUGUAUUACUUCUGUCAUGGGCCUGGGUCUGGGGACCCAUGGUUUAUGUGUGCGUUAUGGACUUGUGUACUUUUGCAGGUCUGUUUUGAGGCUGGCGGUCCCCGCUGGUUACUUGGUUUAUUUGUUGUGUCCUCAUGUUCCCUGUGUGUGUGUGUGUUCUGGUCUCUCUGCAAGUCUGGGCCCAGAGAGUGGUGUCCCUGUCAUGGGGCUUGCCGCACCUGCAAUGCAAUCACACACCUGCAGCUGAUCAGCCUCACCUCAGGAGCAGUCUUAGCAGAGUGGCUGAGCACCCCUCAGUGCUGGAUCGUUGCAAGACUUCCUGUUAUUUUCCCAGCAAGUCAGCUGAAAGGUUGCAGCAGAUGGCCGCCCCUCCUUGAGCCAACUCCCUCCUGCCUCCAAACAUCUGCAUUUGGAUCCUGUUUCUGCUCCAAAUGAUCUGCGUCUCGCAGAUCUUGAAACCUUGACCCAAACCGGUUGCAGCAGAUGGCUGCACCUCCCUGAGCCUGGUUCUGCUGGAAGUUUCUUCCUGCUAAAAGGGAGUUUUCCUUCCCACAGUUGUCUGAUUGUUAGAAUAUAAAUCAUCUUAUGGUGAUUGCUGUGAUUUAGCUGUACAUAAAUAAAACUGAAUUUAAUCUUUUUGUUUUUAUUCUAAUUCAAGCAAAUUCUGCAGUAAAAUAUUCAGAAUGGAAAUGAAUAACACAAUCAUCAAUAUUGAACCAGUUUAAUAAAGAAAAAGGAGUCAAUGAUCAGGCUCAGACCACUGGCCAUACAGUCAUGUUUUAUAGCGGUUUUGAAUAUUUUGAUUUUGCAAAGAUCACAGAAAAAAAGGAAAACAGUGUCCACAUUUUUAUAGUAAACAGGAUAAAUAAUUUUAAUCAGAUUUUAGAUAUUCUUAUUCUACUCAUUUAAAGGACAAACUAAAGUUAAAAUGUCAUACAACAUAUGUCUUGUUUCCAGCAAACUAAGUUUAUGUUUUACAAAUAUAGAUAAGUAAGGCCUUAUUUGCAUAGAGUGAGCAUUGAAGUACUUAAAGUUUUAGUCAGAGUUACCACGGCAGAUAAAGGAGCUGCAGAGGAGGCCUCCUCCCAGGAACAGAAGCGCUGUGGUGAUCCAGCCAAUGUAGACCGAGGCUCCAAGCUCACUCUUCUGAAAGCCAAGAGGCAGAAAUUGAUCGGAAUUAUUGUUGAUGGAUGUGGUGGUCCAGCUGAUUGGUAUUAGCACAAAUAUGCCUGCAAUGAGACAAACAACUCCAGAAGCCAUAGCCAUUUUGUUCCUUUUCCUUUCGUCUGACACAAAGUUGAUGAAUUUGCUCCCAGCAGCCCCAAGCAGGAUCCCAAAGACACCAAUGAUAAUGGCAAUGAUAAUGAGCACUCUGGCAACCUUCAGGUCUGUACUUAUAGGCGCAAGUGUUUCAUCAUACCUUUUGCACCAAGUCAGGAGUACAUUGGAGGUUUCACAGAACUUCCAUAAACCCUCAAAGAACAUCAGAGACACAGUGACGUUGGAUUCAAAGGGAUAAGCUUCACGCCAGAACUCUUUCACUCUCCACUGUGGGAGAGCACAGAUGAUGAUGUUCCCCACAAAGCUGACGGUGGCCAAGGCCAAGCCUAGAAGCUGUCGUACACCAGCAGUCAUGAUGAAAUUCUGUCAAUCAAUUCAAAGUGGAAAGCCUGUGUGUUCCUGAGAACUGCAGCAAGUUGUAUGUGAGGAAAGUGCUAAGCAGGAUGUGGUCUAUAUAUGUGUGUGUGUGGUUUUUAUUCUUAAAAGCGAAGCUGAUUGACUCACACACCACACAGACACUGUACAACAUGGUUACCAGCACUUUAUUGUGAAAUUUUACUU
ensembl:lncRNA